rnacentral:rRNA from 1 species
CAAUAGCGUAUAUUUAAGUUGUUGCAGUUAAAAAGCUCGUAGUUGGAUUUCGGAUGGGACUUGCCGGUCCGUCGUUUCGAUGUGCACUGGCCAGUCCUAUCUUGUUGUCGGGGACUAGCUCCUGGGCUUCACUGUCCGGGACUAGGAGCUGACGAGGUUACUUUGAGUAAAUUAGAGUGUUCAAAGCAAGCCUACGCUCUGAAUACAUUAGCAUGGAAUAACACGAUAGGACUCUGGCUUAUCUUGUUGGUCUGUGAGACCAGAGUAAUGAUUAAGAGGGACAGUCGGGGGCAUUCGUAUUUCAUUGUCAGAGGUGAAAUUCCUGGAUUUAUGAAAGACGAACUUCUGCGAAAGCAUUUGUCAAGGAUGUUUNCAUUA